GCUAAUUGUAAGAUUAAGGUAAGAGCCUGUAUUGCCUAAGCAAACACCGCAGAGAGGCAGUCGCAUGUAGAACUCGUGUAACUAUGGCUUUUCUUAAUUGUAGAAGAGGUGACGAAUCUGGUGAACACGGUUAAUAACAAAACUAACCACCAGAUGGCGCCUCGUACGGAUAUCAAUACAAGUCAACUAUCCGGAACAUCUCAUUCGGUACGUGGCGGUCGCCCAAUCGCCAUCUCCUGAAAAUCGGAGCGCCCGAAAAGUUGCGAUGAAGACUAGAAGAAGCAAUGGACCUAGUCCGGCUAAUAUCAAGACCCAACUCGCAAACAUCACUGAGCAAUAGGACAUUUUUCCAUUACUGUGAUGUACCUGGACCAUUCGCGGCAGUUGUCUUCCCGUGACAAAAUGACCGUCCAUGUCGAUGACCAUGAGAGUCCGAUCCCUGAGCCAGCCGUCUCUGAGACCCAGAGGCGUACAUUCCAUGGUAUUCAAGCGUACGGCACCUAAAGACUUUACAGGGAAGACGAUGAGGUCGCUCAGUUCGCCGACCUUCCGCCAUUUCUUCGGAGGCUGUUCCUUUUGGCGACGAGUCCAAAACCACCAUGCCAAAGCGACGGCUGUCCCAGCGCCGACUAUGACCGCCGUUGCGUAGGCCAACCUCGAUCUCUCUUUAAUGAGAAAAUAAUUAACGCUAAAGUAUUAAAUGAGAUGCUGUUUAACGCUCUUGCAAAUCUGAGAUAUGCCCCAUUUAUCCAUUUCAAGAGCUCGUCGUUUCGCUUGUACACUGACAAUUAAAAAAGAUUAUUAUACGGGCCUUAUUUGAUCGAGAAAAAGAUGCAUAUUUAGAAAUUGAAAUUAAAAGAAAACAUUUUGGAGCAUCAUACUAUUGCGUUAAAAAUGCAUUUUUUAGUUUCCGAAAAUGGAUACCUGUUUCUGAAUUUCUAUUUUACCAAUGAUGGGUACAAGUGGUUGAAUUUUGAAAGAUCUGAUCAACAACAACAAUCUGAAACUUUUCCUUUUUUGAUAGCAUCAAUUCAUGUUUCCCCGGUUUAUUUAUUGCAUACGUUACGCUGGACGAGUUUAUUCGAUUAACAAUUAAUUUAAACCACGGUUCUUGAUCGGCGACUUUGAAUAACAGUACGUAUAACUUCACGCUUAGAUGUUGAAAAAAAUGUUUCUCAGGUGUAUGUGAAGCGGGUCUGGGAUAGCAUUAGAAAUGAAUAACUCUUGCCAGGAAUGUGAUGAGAAAUGAGAUGUAUGUCAUUCUCAUUAUCGGACGUCCUACUGCAACGUUAUCCAUGUUCCCGUAUUAUUUGUACCCUAAAUUCUCAACAAGUAGAGCGUACGUCUACACUUUCAUCUUCCACGCACGGUUAAACGGGAUAACUGUAUAAUAUCAUUCUGCAACUACUUAUUAAGUGAAAUAUUCAUUACUCGUGAACUAUCAGCAAACGUUAAUUAUUUCGGUUAAGAGAAAAGGACGGUAAAUUGUAGACAUUCUUUUGCUGGUGAAAAUAUGCAUACGAGCAAUUCUCACUCAAGUCGAAAGGGUUCGGUAUGUUUAACCUUAAAUCCGACUCGAGAGUUUUUUUUGAUUUACGUUUCUCCUGAAACUAUAUCCGAAAGAGUUUUGCUUUUUUAAACUUUUAGUUUUGACUAAUCAAUUAUCAAAUCUUUCGAAGAAUUACAAGUUGAAUAAUUUUUUCUCAAACAUGACUCGUUCUAAUAAAAAACUCUCCGAAGAUUUUUAGUUUUUACCUUGGUCUAAAGAUAAACUAAACUGAAAAAAAAAUUGGCACUAAUUUAAUAUGGAGUGAUUUUUUAUUGAUUUGUCGUUGGUUUCUUAAUUACAACUUCCUGAAAUGAAACUGGCUAUUGCAUAUUGAAAUCCUAAAUAUACCAGACAAUUUCAUUUUCGACGGCUAUAAUUGUAUUUACUUGGACUAAAUUCGAAUGAAAUUCACGCAAAAUUAAAACAUGGUAUUAUAAUUUUUCGACAAUAUUGUAACACUGUACCAGUAACGUUAGUAGUAUAAUAUGCCAGUUGCAGUAGUGGUGCGAGAAAUAAUCAUGUGUAGGUUAUCGUAACACGUGGUAUAAAUAUCAUUUAAACGCUUAAAAGAAAGUUUUUUUUUCAAGUUUCUUUUUAAUACGAACAAUGAUCAGAUAGCACCCGUUUUAACUGAAUUACUUGAUCUGCAUAAUUCUUCUGCAGUGGAAAUAGCAGUACGUUGAAUAAUAGUUUUUACAGUACAUGAACUAUAUACAUAGGAAAUUACCCUCUUAAUUUAAAACCGUCUGGGUAUGAUAACUUCGUUUACUCAGAGGAAACAAAUAACCAAUCUUAACUGUUUAUUCGCAUGCGGUUCGAUUUAAAAUAGUGCGAGUGUUCAACUGUACGUAGAAUUCAAUAUUAUGUUUAAGAACCACGAUAUGCUUCAGUAAUCUUCUAUCCGUGAUCAUAAAGUUCUUGGCAUUCUUUGGUUCGUUUUCUUUUUCUCUUGAUUUUAUCGACGCUUCGCUGGUUCUUCCGGGUUUCGAACAUCUGUUGUACUUUGCAUAGAAUGAACGUCAUGAUAACCGAUGAACACGUGAAGAAAGGAUGGAACGCUACGUUGCAUGAUUCGAGUAAAUAUGUACGAUGUUACACUCGGCUGCAUUUCCAUUUCCGUCGCCAUGGGCAAGGAUACCUAGGACCUGAGCAAAAUCAAUACUUCGCGAAUCGAGCAGUUCGUGAGCCUACUUGCUGGGAAAAAAUCGUAUGAUGAUGAGUCCAAGAGACGAUCGUGAACACGUGUAUUACGAAACACGUGUCUUAAAAUUCUACAAAUUUCCGACUCAACGAGCGUUUGUGUCUUUUGACUUGAAUUAUUGGAGCUUGAUAAUAAUUCAAGUUAGCAGACAUAAUAAAUGUUAAGUGUCGAGGCUAUAAUUUUAUCUUAUUAAAGAUGUAGAAACACCGUGCAUAAUAUAAUUCACGAAUGAUACUUCAUUAUCUGUGCAGGAGUCACUCGUGUUUAUUUUACUGAAGAUAAGCUCGGGUAUUUUCUUCAAACAAUCAUCCAUAAUACGAUCACAAACUAUCGU
rnacentral:lncRNA from 1 species